AGUGAACGCUGGCGGUAGGCCUAACACAUGCAAGUCGAACGGCAGCACAGUAAGAUCUUGCUCUUACGGGUGGCGAGUGGCGGACGGGUGAGGAAUACAUCGGAAUCUACUUUGUCGGGGGGGAUAACGGGGGGAAACAGACGCUAAUACCGCAUACGUCCUACGGGUGAAAGCAAGAGAUCUUCGGACUCUUCGCGUUUCAAAUAGCCGAUGUCGGAUUAGCUAGUUGGGGGGGUAAAGGCCCACCAAGGCGACGAUCCGUAGCUGGUCUGAGAGGAUGAUCAGCCACACUGGAACUGAGACACGGUCCAGACUCCUACGGGAGGCAGCAGUGGGGAAUAUUGGACAAUGGGCGCAAGCCUGAUCCAGCCAUGCCGCGUGAGUGAAGAAGGCCUUCGGGUUGUAAAGCCCUUUUGUUGGGAAAGAAAAGCAGCAGGUUAAUCCCCCGCUGUUCUGACGGCACCCAAAGAAUAAGCACCGGCUAACUUCGUG
rnacentral:rRNA from 1 species